GCCAGAGACACUGGAAAGGAGUAACUGUUGCUGAAACUUCAUGAAUAUGGAGUCAAGAAUUUAUGAGGUUUCGAAGCUUUUUAAAAGAAACCACUCCAUUGUUUCCUGGAUCACAUCAUUUCUGAUGAGAAUUCUGCUGUAAAUUUUUAAUCCAUGUUCCACGCUUCCCUGGAGCUUUCUGACCAGCAUAGUUGGUGACCCUUCCAGCUGCAUUGAUAGAGGUCCAGGAUUCAGGGCUCAGGUGAACAUCACAGGAAAAUCUACUUUACAAAGAGGGGGUGACAUGAAAUGGGACUUCAGUCAUCAUCCUCCCUGGGUCCCACCAUAUAGUUGACAAACUAUUAUCCCAGCCAAACAUUUUUGAUUCAGUCCUAAUUCAAGAGGCCUCUUGUCCUUCAAUAUUUGAAGAGAUCCACUAAGUCAAAUGGAUCCACUUUAGUAACAGUUGAUUUGGAUACUACUGGAUUACCUGCUGCUCUGAAUAAGGUGGUCCCCUGAGAUGCUGGUUGGUUACUCUGUUGGGACAGCCCACCUGCUCAUAGGACAUCUGUCUGGAUAUCCCAUCCCUACCCAGCAUGCAUUCAGGCAAGACAUUUUCUAGUGGAGGAACCCCAGCACAUCUCCUAAAGCAGCAGGAGUGAGCCACAAUGAAGAAGGAACUAGAGCCACACUGACUAGCCAUUCAAGGUGGCGGCAGCUAUGUGUGGGCAUGGAUUGGAAGUAGUGGCUCUUCUUCAGGCAGCAGCUUUUAGGUGAAAGUAUCCUGUGCACCAGGCUUGGUGGUCAGCAGCUGAGCUCAGGGUUGAGGGCUGGAUAAGGAGCUGCCUGCCUGCACUUAGAGACCCCGGAGCUGUGCUCAGGAGCACAGUAUGGGAUUCAGCCAGGAGGACCGGAGCCCCUGGACCCAGAACUUGCAAUGCGAAGUGCAGCAUGAUUCCAAAUUGCAUCCAUUGCUGGUGAUGGAAAACGUUUAAAUCAAGAGCAGCCUGGCUGUUCAUCAUAUCUCAGGACUCAGACUGUUCCAAGCUUAAUCUUGACAAAUACACCCAGGUCGGGGAAAGAGACGUGAUGGAUCCUUCAUCAUUCCUGAUGCAAGUUUCAGGCUUCCCUUCUGCUCAUACUUCAUUGACCAAAGCAAGUCACACAACCUCUUCUGACUUCAGGGGGAGAAGUACACCCCACGCUCGUGCCUGCAGGAGAUGUGAAAUGUCCAUGAACGGCCCUAAUCCAUUCUAUGCAUUGCCUUGGUUUAUAGGUUCAUUGUCCUUUUUAGUUCAUUGUGAGCUCAUACAAAACAGGAAUAAACUCCUUCUACAUAA